GCAAACUUGGUCAUUUAGAGGAAGUAAAAGUCGUAACAAGGUUUCCGUAGGUGAACCUGCGGAAGGAUCAUUAACGAAUUGUGGCUGUGUAGCCAAAAUUCCUUAUCCAUCCGUGCUUGCUAACUUGUGUUUUGGCGGUAUGGGGGGUUAUUUUCUAGCGGAUGAGCGAGAAAAUGUAUACCGCCAAUGGAUUUACAUGCAUUAUAUGAUUGUCUGAAUUGUUUUAGAAAAAGAAAUCUAGAAAAGAGAAAAACUAUGAACAACGGAUCUCUAGGCUCUUGCAUCGAUGAAGAACGCAGC
rnacentral:misc_RNA from 1 species